UGAAUGUAUUUGAGAUAAAUAAUUUAAAGUAAUAUUAGAGGUACAAUAUCCUGAAAUCUUAUUCAGUAAGAUGUACGUAAGGCCAGUAUUAUUAGUCUUGUUGACCUGUGCCGUUGUAAGUAUUUGUAGGGCAGAUAACUUAACAGUGGGGAGCAACAUAAAUGGUCAGCUGGUUCAUAUGGAAAAGGUAUCUUUGUCAGCUAUUCCUUUUAAAGUGAGGACCAAAACUGUGUCAUAUAAUGGACAACAAGUAAUUAAGGGAAUAUCGGCCAUAGACCUUAAAAAUUCAAAGACUAAAGUGAGCAUCAUGGCUGGAGGGACUAGCUUUACAUACGUCACUCUGCGUUUGAAGAGUGAAAGAGGAGAUGGACUCGACUAUCAGAUACAGAUAUAUGUGUAGUUCUGACCGAUACAAUUUUAUAAAACAGAAAUACUAAUGAGUAUCGAUUUCUUUCUAUGAAUAUAAUUUUUAAUGUGAA